CCCCCAGUAGCGGCGAGCGAACGGGGAGCAGCCCAGAGCCUGAAUCAGUAUGUGUGUUAGUGGAAGCGUCUGGAAAGGCGCGCGAUACAGGGUGACAGCCCCGUACACAAAAAUGCACAUGCUGUGAGCUCGAUGAGUAGGGCGGGACACGUGGUAUCCUGUCUGAAUAUGGGGGGACCAUCCUCCAAGGCUAAAUACUCCUGACUGACCGAUAGUGAACCAGUACCGUGAGGGAAAGGCGAAAAGAACCCCGGCGAGGGGAGUGAAAAAGAACCUGAAACCGUGUACGUACAAGCAGUGGGAGCACGCUUAGGCGUGUGACUGCGUACCUUUUGUAUAAUGGGUCAGCGACUUAUAUUCUGUAGCAAGGUUAACCGAAUAGGGGAGCCGAAGGGAAACCGAGUCUUAACUGGGCGUUAAGUUGCAGGGUAUAGACCCGAAACCCGGUGAUCUAGCCAUGGGCAGGUUGAAGGUUGGGUAACACUAACUGGAGGACCGAACCGACUAAUGUUGAAAAAUUAGCGGAUGACUUGUGGCUGGGGGUGAAAGGCCAAUCAAACCGGGAGAUAGCUGGUUCUCCCCGAAAGCUAUUUAGGUAGCGCCUCGUGAAUUCAUCUCCGGGGGUAGAGCACUGUUUCGGCAAGGGGGUCAUCCCGACUUACCAACCCGAUGCAAACUGCGAAUACCGGAGAAUGUUAUCACGGGAGACACACGGCGGGUGCUAACGUCCGUCGUGAAGAGGGAAACAACCCAGACCGCCAGCUAAGGUCCCAAAGUCAUGGUUAAGUGGGAAACGAUGUGGGAAGGCCCAGACAGCCAGGAUGUUGGCUUAGAAGCAGCCAUCAUUUAAAGAAAGCGUAAUAGCUCACUGGUCGAGUCGGCCUGCGCGGAAGAUGUAACGGGGCUAAACCAUGCAC
rnacentral:rRNA from 1 species